rnacentral:lncRNA from 10 species
GCCUUGCUCUAUUGCUCGUUGGCACUGAGGGAAGCUCUCUGGGGAGAGGAGCCCACCAAUGCUUGGCUGACAAGACCUCAGUCAUGUCUGAUGUGGCUUCACCUUUGCUGCCGUCUUCGUAUCACUAGGGGAGCCCUGUGGAGUGGGGUGGAGUUCAAGAUGGAUUCUCAAGAAGUUAUAGGAAGCUCUUUAUCAAUUCAAUUCCUGAGAAGGGCCCACUUCAGGGAUGUUACAGUGCAGACAAAGAUUCUGGUGCCUCACAAGAUUUGACACAAGCCAGCGCUUUGUUGUUUUUCUCACCUGUUGGCCAGAAGAUUAUCUUGGAGCAGGAAAAGCCAAGUGGAAGAAGCCAAGUGAAGGGCUAUGGGGACCUAGAAGAUGGAGUCGUCACACAGUGGAAGAAUUGCAGAUCUCUGAGUCACCAUUUGGACAAGAACCUACUAGAACAGGUGCCUGAACAAGAACACUGGACUUUGUACAGGACCUGGACUAGCUUAGACGAAUGAGGCACUUGCCUCUG